rnacentral:misc_RNA from 1 species
AACAAGGCGUACCUGCGGACCUGCGGAAGGAUCAUUACAAGUGACCCCGGUCUAACCACCGGGAUGUUCAUAACCCUUUGUUGUCCGACUCUGUUGCCUCCGGGGCGACCCUGCCUUCGGGCGGGGGCUCCGGGUGGACACUUCAAACUCUUGCGUAACUUUGCAGUCUGAGUAAACUUAAUUAAUAAAUUAAAACUUUUAACAACGGAUCU